rnacentral:rRNA from 1 species
AACGCUGGCGGUGUGCCUCAUACAUGCAAGUCGAACGAGAAGUUACCUUCGGGUAAUGGAAAGUGGCGGACGGGUGAGUACAACAUAGGAAAUCUGCCCUAAAGCGGGGGACAACAGAGGGAAACUCCUGCUAAUACCCCAUAUGAGCUUAGUUGAAAUACUAAUCUUGAAAGAUUUAUCACUUUAGGAUGAGCCUGUGCCUGAUUAGCUGGUUGGUGGUGUAAUGGACUACCAAGGCGACGAUCAGUAGCUGGUUUGAGAGGAUGAUCAGCCACAAUGGGACUGAGACACGGCCCAUACUCCUACGGGAGGCAGCAGUAGGGAAUUUUGCGCAAUGGGGGAAACCCUGACGCAGCAACACCGCGUGAAUGUUAAGCCCUUCGGGGUGUAAAGUUCUGUCAAUAGGGAAGAAUAAAUGACUGUACCUAUAAAGGAAGCACCGGCUAACUCCGUGCCAGCCGCGGC